AUCCAGCUGACGAGUCCCAAAUAGGAUGAAGUGAUGGCCGUCCUGAAU
rnacentral:hammerhead_ribozyme from 1 species